rnacentral:rRNA from 1 species
AUUGAACGCUGGCGGCAGGCCUAACACAUGCAAGUCGAACGAGUGGCGGACGGGUGAGUAAUGACUGGAAAACUGCCUGAUGGAGGGGGAAAACUACUGGAAACGGUAGCUAAUACCGCAUACAAUGCGUUGGGCCCAAAUGGGUUUAGCUUGUUGGUGGGGUAACGGCUAACAAAGGCGACGAUCCCUAGCUGGUCUGAGAGGAUGACCAGCCACACUGGAACUGAGACACGGCCCAGACUCCUACGGGAGGCAGCAGUGGGGAAUUUUGGACAAUGGGGGCAAGCCUGAUGCAGCCAUGCCGCGUGUAUGAAGAAGGCCUUCGGGUUGUAAAGUACUUUCAGCGGGGAGGCGGUACCUGCAGAAGAAGCACCGGCUAACUCCGUGCCAGCAGCCGCGGUAAUAC